rnacentral:rRNA from 1 species
UACGAAGGGGGCUAGCGUUGUUCGGAUUUACUGGGCGUAAAGCGCACGUAGGCGGAUUGGUCAGUUAGGGGUGAAAUCCUGGAGCUCAACUCCAGAACUGCCUUUAAUACUGCCAGUCUCGAGUCCGGAAGAGGUAAGUGGAACUCCUAGUGUAGAGGUGGAAUUCGUAGAUAUUAGGAAGAACACCAGUGGCGAAGGCGGCUUACUGGUCCGGUACUGACGCUGAACCACGAAAGCCAGGGUAGCGAACGGG